GAAACGACUGCUAAGACUGGAUAGGAGACAAGAAGGCAUCUUCUUGUUUUUAAAAGACCUAGCAAUAGGUAUGCUUAGGGAGGAGCUUGCGUCACAUUAGUUAGUUGGUGGGGUAAAGGCCUACCAAGACUAUGAUGUGUAGCCGGGCUGAGAGGUUGAACGGCCACAUUGGGACUGAGACACGGCCCAAACUCCUACGGGAGGCAGCAGUAGGGAAUUUUCGGCAAUGGAGGAAACUCUGACCGAGCAACGCCGCGUGAACGAUGAAGUAUUUCGGUACGUAAAGUUCUUUUAUUAGGGAAGAAUAAAUGAUGGAAAAAUCAUUCUGACGGUACCUAAUGAAUAAGCCCCGGCUAACUAUGUGCCAGCAGCCGCGGUAAUACAUAGGGGGCAAGCGUUAUCCGAAAUUAUUGGGCGUAAAGGGUGCGUAGGCGGUUAAAUAAGUUUGUGGUCUAAGUGCAAUGCUCAACAUUGUGAUGCUAUAAAAACUGUUUAGCUAGAGUAAGAUAGAGGCAAGUGGAAUUCCAUGUGUAGUGGUAAAAUGCGUAAAUAUAUGGAGGAACACCAGUAGCGAAGGCGGCUUGCUGGGUCUUUACUGACGCUGAGGCACGAAAGCGUGGGGAGCAAACAGGAUUAGAUACCCUGGUAGUCCACGCCGUAAACGAUGAGUACUAAACGUUGGGUAAAACCAGUGUUGAAGUUAACACAUUAAGUACUCCGCCUGAGUAGUACGUACGCAAGUAUGGAACUUAAAGGAAUUGACGGGACUCCGCACAAGCGGUGGAUCAUGUUGUUUAAUUCGAAGGUACCCGAAAAACCUCACCAGGUCUUGACAUGCUUCUGCAAAGCUGUAGAAACACAGUGGAGGUUAUCAGUUGCACAGGUGGUGCAUGGUUGUCGUCAGCUCGUGUCGUGAGAUGUUGGGUUAAGUCCCGCAACGAGCGCAACCCUUAUUGUUAGUUACCAGCACGUAAUGGUGGGGACUUUAGCAAGACUGCCAGUGAUAAAUUGGAGGAAGGUGGGGACGACGUCAAAUCAUCAUGCCCCUUAUGACCUGGGCUACAAACGUGAUACAAUGGCUGUUACAAAGGGUAGCUGAAGCGCAAGUUUUUGGCGAAUCUCAAAAAAACAGUCUCAGUUCGGAUUGAAGUCUGCAACUCGACUUCAUGGAGUUGGAAUCGCUAGUAAUCGCGAAUCAGCAUGUCGCGGUGAAUACGUUCUCGGGGUUUGUACACACCGCCCGUCA
rnacentral:rRNA from 1 species